AGAACGAACGCUGGCGGCAGGCUUAACACAUGCAAGUCGAACGCCCCGCAAGGGGAGUGGCAGACGGGUGAGUAACGCGUGGGAAUCUACCCAGAUCUUCGGAACAACUGAGGGAAACUUCAGCUAAUACCGGAUACGCCCUACGGGGAAAGAUUUAUCGGAUCUGGAUGAGCCCGCGUUGGAUUAGCUAGUUGGUGAGGUAAUGGCUCACCAAGGCGACGAUCCAUAGCU
rnacentral:rRNA from 1 species